GGGCGUCCCCGCCCAGGCCCGGGAGACAGAGGCGCUGACCCCGGGACAGAGCCUGGCUUUGUGCGGGAGGCAGACGCGCCCCGCGCGCCGCCCCCGAAACAUUCGCACCCCAUGCUGAGGCGCGCGUCUGGGAGUCCGUGGGCGCCCCGAGAAAUGAAGUUGAAAAUAGCACAGGAGCCCACUAUCACUGUGUGAACAUUUUGUGAAUGAAGACAUGUAUGAAAGGAUGUUUGGAGGCUUCAAGAAACGAAAGCCGAGAGUCUAGCUAGACCAGAGCCAUCCAGCCCAGGAGCGAUGGCCACGUGUGGCCGCUGGACACGAGAGACGUGGCCAGUCCAAACUGUGCAGUGCGGUAAGGGCAGAACACAUGCCAGCUUUCGAAGGCUUAGUAAAGAAUGCAAAAUUUCUCAAUUGGGAAUUUUUGUAUGAAUUUCAGGUUGAAAAAAACAUUUUGGAUAUAUGGUGUUAAAUAAACAUGAUUACAAUGACUUUCGCUGUCAGCCUCCCGGAGGCUCAUUUUGCUCCUCUGGGCCACAGCCAGCUCAGAGGGUUGCUCUAGGAAAUAUCUACACGUUCUUGAAGCACAGGUUUAUGUGCCAGGCACUGUACUAAGUGCUGGGGACACGGCGUUAAGACCAGGCCCUCACGGAGCCCUCACUCUCUGAGGAGGAACAAUAAGUCAGAGAGCGCGCGAGUGCAGCCCUUCAGGCAAAGGAUUUCAGGCCCAGGUCAGGAAGGCCUUGUCUGAGGAGUCUGAGAAGAAGUCAAUUGACAACAGCUAGAACAUCUAGGUCAGGCACUCCAGGCCGACACGACAAAGCAGGUGCAAAGGCCCCAGGGCGGGAACCAGCGUGGCUUGUUCACAGAACAAGGAGGUAGAUCGCUUGCCCUUGGGACCAAAGGAAGGCUCUGGAUUUUAUUCUAGGGGCAGUGGAAGCCGUUGGAGGGCCUCAGGCAGGAACACAAGGUGUCGUGGCAGAAAGGAAGAAGGGGCCGGGCACGGUGGCCCACACCCGUCAUCCCAGCACUUUGGGAGGGAGGCCAAGGCAGGAGGAUCGCUUCAAUCCAGGAGUUCAAGAUCAGCCUGGGCAACACAGCAAGACCCCGUCUCUACUAAAACCCUAAAACUUAGCCAGGCUUGGUGGCAUGUGCCUAAGGUCCCAGGUCCUCGGGAGACUAAGGCAGGAGGAUUGCUUAAGCCCAAGAGUUUGAGGCUGCAGUGAACUAUUAUCACACCACUGCACUCAGCCUGGGUGACAGAGUGACUCUGUCUCAAAACUAAAUAAAUAAACAAUAAUUGUGUUAUUCUGUC
rnacentral:lncRNA from 1 species